rnacentral:rRNA from 1 species
UGGGGAAUAUUGGACAAUGGGGGGAACCCUGAUCCAGCCAUGCCGCGUGUGUGAAGAAGGCCUUAUGGUUGUAAAGCACUUUAAGCGAGGAGGAGGGUACUGGUAUUAAUACUACCAGGCACUGGACGUUACUCGCAGAAUAAGCACCGGCUAACUCUGUGCCAGCAGCCGCGGUAAUACAGAGGGUGCGAGCGUUAAUCGGAUUUACUGGGCGUAAAGCGUGCGUAGGCGGCUAAUUGAGUCGGAUGUGAAAUCCCCGAGCUUAACUUGGGAAUUGCAUUCGAUACUGGUUAGCUAGAGUGUGGGAGAGGAUGGUAGAAUUCCAGGUGUAGCGGUGAAAUGCGUAGAUAUAGGAAGGAACACCAGUGGCGAAGGCGACCACCUGGGCUCAUACUGACACUGAGGUGCGAAAGCGUGGGGAGCAAACAGG